rnacentral:lncRNA from 1 species
CCUCCUCUGCACUCCGAGCCCAGUCACUCUGUCUGGGGGCUGACCACUUACUCAGUGUGAGUGCUUGAGUGAUUAACAGAGCACCCAUCAUGGAGGGCACACACACCGUGCUGAUCCUAUAUGCACCCAUCCAUGAGCUAAGCAACAUCAGCCUGUAUUUCCCCAAGAGGCGGGCCCCGAGCUUUAAGUACAAGAGCCGCGCCCCUCAUUCAGAAAGGGUCGGUAAUGACCAUGACCGGGGAAAUGAGGAUCUCGCAGUGUCCGAACAAAGAGGCCAGUCUUCCUGCUCCUCAGACAAACUCCUCAUCUCCCAGCAGGCAACAAAGGAGGCAGUUGCAGAGCUCUGCUGGCUGGCGGCGGAGCACCACCAGUUGCUGGUGGAUCUUUUAUCACUGUGUAGGGAUUGCGCCAUCAAAGUUAGGAUGGGUAACCAGGAUGGGAAAGUCCAGGAUUACAUGGAGGGUCAGGAAGUUCACCUUGGAGGUCAGGGUCUCAUCAGCAACAACUAUUCUCUCACUGUAUCUCCCGAGCACAAGAGGGCAGCGGCAUCCAAGAGCAAAAAGCUGAAGAAGUUGGGAGGCAAGAAGCUUGACAGCGCAGAGGAUUUGCUGCACAGUAAAAUGAAAAAGAAAGUUACCAGUGGAACUUCAUCUACUCAGCUUCCUGUUCUCAACAGUGCGCCCAUAUCUUCAGCCUCAGUAAUGCAGCAGAUUCCAGGUGGUUACCUAGCCUUUGGCCAUGUCACCGACAGCCCAGUCACCGGCUCUUAUGUCAGUGCAGUCAGUAAUCCCAUCCUGCCCAUGGAGGAACCCUUCCAGAUCGGUCAUGAGGGCUGGGACUUCAUGGAGGAUAACCGGCCAUUUGACCCUUACAUUGAUUUCUGCAAUGACUUCUCAGAGUAUGAUGGUGAGCUGGGUUAUGAGUCGUCAUUCUGCAACCUGAUGGAGGGUCUGACCAGACGGGAAAGUGGGAGCAACCUUCGACCAAUUAAGAGGUCUGAUUCCUUGGGUGACACAGUAUCUGAGAAUGCAUCAACAGUCAAGUCUGCUCAGCAGCUGUAUGGUAAAACCAACCAGAGUAAUACAGGGGUCAGGGUGGUGGCCAAAGUACAAGAUGUGGAAGGGAGAGUGCAACAUGUCAACCAUACAUGCUCAGACAGGGCAGGGCCAGCCAUGCUACAUCCAGGGACUAACAGCUGCCAGCAUGGGUUUGGAGAGUGGAAAGGACCAAACAGAGAGCACCUGCUGGAAG